rnacentral:rRNA from 1 species
GAUGAACGCUGGCGGCGUGCCUAAUACAUGCAAGUCGAGCGAUGCGGGGACGGGUGAGUAACACGUGGAUAACCUCCUAUAAGACUGGGAUAACUUCGGGAAACCGGAGCUAAACGCGAUACUUAUAGAUGUAUCCGCGCUGCAUUCGCUAGUUGGUAAGGUAACGGCUUACCAAGGCAACUAUGCAUAGCCGACCUGAGAGGGUGGUCGGCAACACUGUGACUGAGACACGGUCCAGACUCCUACGGGAGGCAGCAGUAGGGAAUCUGCCGCAAUGGGCGAAAGCCUGACGGAGCAACGCCGCGUGAGUGAUGAAGGUCUUCGGAUCGUAAAACUCUGUUAUUAGGGAAGCGGUACCUAAUCAGAAAGCCACGGCUAACUACGUGCCAGCCGCCGCGGUAAUUC